rnacentral:rRNA from 1 species
GCGGUAUCUUGACCGUGCAAAGGUAGCAUAAUCAUUAGUUUCUUAAUUGGGAACUUGUAUGAAUGGUUGGACAAAGAAAAAUCUGUCUCUUGUAUUAAAAUUGAAUUUAACUUCUGAGUGAAAAGGCUCAGAUUAGCCAGAGGGACGAUAAGACCCUAUAAAGCUUUAUAAAUUUAUUAAUUUCUUCUAUUUUUUUAUAAUGAUGAUGUUAAGAAGAUUUAUUUGGUUGGGGCAACCGAAGUAUAAUUAAAAAUAACUGCUAAUAUUUUAUACAAUGAUUUUUGUUUUAAUAAUAAUUGAUCCUUAAAAAGAUUAAAGACCAAGUUACUUUAGGGAUAACAGCGUAAUUUAUCCUGAGAGUCCUUAUCAAAGGAGAAGUUUGCGACCUCGAUG